rnacentral:pre_miRNA from 1 species
UUCAAGUAAUCCAGGAUAGGCUGUUACCAGGCAACACGGCCUAUUCUUGAUUACUUGUUUC